CCCUAGCUCUCGUUGAUAAGACACUUCGCGGUUCACACCAUGCCCUGGAUUUUGGGAGGCCAUCGAGAAGUCGCAGUCGCAGCGAUCCUUCCUUCUUGACGAUGAGGGGAUUUUAUGCCGGUUCAGAUGAUGGUGGUGAUGAAACGGCGUGCGAGGCCAGAGAUACAUAGGGUCCUCCAUGCCGGGUGCCGAUGCCAGCCGCUCUAGGGCUCUCUCAUCUGGGAAGCGGCUUGCCUGCAGUUACCAAGAGCACAGAUGCGUGGCGUGCCAGGAGGAUUUUGGUGUCCGUGGAGCGCCGCCAGUGCUCCUUUGUGGGAAGGGGGAAGAUGGGGAAACAGACCGCCCUGGGUUUAUCCGCCGAGUCCAAGCUGCAGGAAGCGCUGAAUGCUGCCGUUGUUGUAAGCCUACCACACAAGCAGGAUGAUGACCUAGACGAGAUUCUUGAAUUUUCACUUAUUGAACAAUUUCCCGGUCCCACUUUCCCGCAACAAGCAUGAUAGGGACUUUUGCAGAAGGAUCUUGCAUGGGAUUUUAUCAGCAAACAGGGAACUGAAUAUGUGAUUAUGCCUUGGGGAUUUGAUCUACUAAAUUCUGUACCAUGUUUUGGAUGCCAAGGGCCAUCAGGGUUGUGUCAAUGCCAUUGCAUGGAACGCCAAAGGCUCACUUUUAAUUUCUGGUUCAGAUGACACUAGAGUGGUCGAUGCUAUGGAGAUUAAAGAACUGAAGCACAUCUUGCUUUUAACUCUUAGCUGAUCUGCAUUAUUUAGUUUAACAAAUAGGUUUGUUUUUGACGACUACCUACUUUUGUUUUUUAUAUUCAACUUUAAUUUACUCCUGCAGAUCAAUAUAUGACAGGGGCUAUUACAUAGUAUUGAAACAGGUCACAAUGCAAAUAUAUUUUCUACAAAGUUUGUUCCAGACACAUCUGAUGACCUAGUUGUAUCAGGUGCAGGUGAUGCUGAGAGGAUGAUGUAACAGAUGGUGAGUGGAUUGGGGAUUUGUUCCAAGCUUCUAGUUCCAAAUGGUAGAAUGUGAUUUGAAUUUUGAUGUGUUCUUGCCUAUUGUUAUAGAUUUCGAACACUACUAGAUAGAUUUGAUAGUGAACUGUUAAGAUAGAAUUUGAGUAAUUUCGAUUCGAGUAUAAAGUUGUACUUAUCUCUUUCAUGUUGGAUGAGGUAUUGGACAUAUUUAAUAGUUAGUAACACCUUUGAUGUGUUCUAGUUUGUUAUAACAAAGAUUCAUAUUUUUUGAUACUAUGUUUACUUGUUGAUGUUUUCAAUAUGUUUUAGUUAAUUUGAAUUGAGUGGUGUCUGUUUUAUCUUGGAUUUGAGUUAGAGAGAGUUGCUAGAAUUAAAGGGUGUGUUAAUCUCCUCAUGAUUGAUGAUUUUGGUAUUUUAGAUUUGAUACCAUGAUUUCUAGCGAAUGCUUUCCAUGUGUGCUAGUUUAAACUACAUAACUUGGAGAAUUCGGUUUUGGUUUCAAUGAGUGUUGGCUGCGGAUUUUGUGUGGAUUUAACUUGUUGCUUUCUGCUUAUUUGAUUAGUUGUGGUUUUAGUGUGUGGAUUGCGUGCAGGUUGAUUCAAUGGUGAUUUGGGUUCUUUCGAGUUAGAUAUGGUUCUUACUUUGUAUAUGCAUGUUUUUAUCUUCUUUCAAGGUAGGCAUAUUUAUAAAAUGAAUAUAAUGUGUUAUGGAUACAAGUAUAAUGUGUAUUGGUUAUGUUUUUUUUUUUGUGGUUAAUUGGAUGGGUAUGAGCAUAUGUGGUGACAAUAUAGAAUAGGUGUUUCGGGAUGAGUUUCGAGGAGGGUCCGAAUAAAUAUGAUUGAUUGAUUGAUAAUGUAAUUUAUGUGUACUAGUUACUGUUCUCGUUAUUUCAUGGAUGUCAUAUUUUUAAUAUUGGAUUAUAUUUGUUGGGUUUGUAGAUUUAUGAUGUUUAUGUUAUAGUUGAGGGAGAUAUUUCUAAGGAUAUGAUGGAAGGCAUGCGAACGGAGUAGACGAGGAGGCGGGAUGGACGCAUGACACAUUGUUUAGAUAUCUUAGGAGUGUUGUAAAGACAUUUGUUUCCUUGUGAGUUUUUUCUUUAUUUGUAUGAGUUGUAUUAGUGUAUUCUUUGUUCUUUGUUUUUGUUAAACUCUUUUGGUUGUGAUGUUACUAUUCAUGUUGGGUAUGGUGGUCCAUUUUGAUGGGACUUUUAUUAUGGUUCCAAGUUUAUUCAAAUUUGUUCAAAAGGUCUUUUGGGAGUUCUCGGUUGAGUCGUUGAUAAUCUAUAAA